rnacentral:rRNA from 1 species
GUGAACGCUGGCGGUAUGGAUAAGGCAUGCAAGUCGAGUGGGUUUAGACCCACGGCAGACGAGGUAGUAACACGUAGGAACGUACCCGGAAGUCGGGCAUAAUCAGUCGAAAGACUGGAUAAUUCUCGAUGGUCUCACUGAUUUAUUUCUGUGAGUAAAGAUUUAUCGCUUCCGGAGCGGCCUGCGCAGCAUCAGCUAGUUGGUAAGGUAAUGGCUUACCAAGGCUACGACGCUUAGGGGAGCUGAGAGGCUGACCCCCACCGAUGGAACUGAGACACGGUCCAUACUCCUACGGGAGGCUGCAGCCGAGAAUAUUCGACAAUGGACGCAAGUCUGAUCGAGCGAUACCGCGUGAUGGAUGAAGCGCUUCGGCGCGUAAACAUCUUUUGUCAGGGAAAAAGUUAUUGAUUGUACCUGAAGAAUAAGGGGCUCCUAACUCUGU